rnacentral:rRNA from 1 species
AUGGAGGCGGCGUUCGACGCCUACUUCCGCGCGGCGGAUCUGGACCGCGACGGCCGGAUCAGCGGCCAGGAGGCCGUCGCCUUCUUCAAGGGCUCCGGCCUCCCGCAGCCCGUCCUAGCUCAGAUCUGGACAUAUGCUGAUAAAAACCGGACUGGGUUUCUUGGGCGUGAAGAUUUUUUCAACUCGCUUAAACUAGUGACAGUCGCACAGAGUGGCCGACAGUUGACACCGGACAUUGUUAAGUCAGCAUUAUUCGGUCCCGCCGCUGCAAAAAUUCCUGCUCCCCGUAUAAAUAUCCCAACCGCAGCUCCUCAGCCAAAUAGUGUCGCUAGCCCCCCGCAGCCGACUCAGGCAUUAGGUCCUCGUCAACAGACACCAGUUGUAAAUGGAUCACAGGGCCCUCCUGGAUCAUCAUUGAACCUACAAGUACCCCAAUCGGGUAAUCUUGUUAGGCCGCCACAACCUCCAAGUGCAAACACCCCACAAGUACCCCAACAGGGUCAUCCUGUUAGGCCGCCACAACCUCCAAGUGCAAACACCCCACAAGUACCCCAACCGGGUCAUCCUGUUAGACCGCCACAACCUCCAAAUGCAAACAUCCCCCCUGCUCAGGGAAUUGCGCCAAGGCCACCCGUAGGAGGUGGUCUAAGUGGGCUAAAUCAGGCUGGUUCAACGACGGCAAAUCUAUCCACCGAUUGGUUCAGUGGCAAGAAAAGUGCAAGUCCAUUGGGAGGUACUUCACAAGCUCCAGUUAGAGGUGCUUCUCCACAGGUGAACCUUGGUACCGUGGGAAUACCAACACAGAGUUCAACUCCUGCAGCCCAGACACCGGCUAUUACGACAUCUGUAAAGCCAAAUCCAACAGAUCUAAACAUUCUGUCUUCACAACCAGCUGUUAAUGACUCCAAGGCAUUGGUUCCCUUGGGAAAUGGAUCGCCGUCCAACUCAAGUUUUGGGGUUGAUCCUUUCUCUGCAACUCCACAACCAACGCAAAAUUCGUCUUCCCCCCAUGUUUCAAAUGGCUUGCAUGGUUCUACAGCCCUUGGCCCAGCUGCUGGACCUCAUCACCCCCCUAAGCCAAUGCCGCCUGGUCCUGUGCAGGGUAUAUCAUCGUUGCUUUCUCAUACUGGCCAGGUGCCACCAAACCAGCCAGCUCCUAAGCAGAACCAGUUUAAUAGCAUACCGAGCACUCCAGGACCACUGAAUGCUAACAUCCCUGGUGGACAAAUUCCUACAAAUCAAAAACAGUUUCAGGCCCCAUGGCCCAAGAUCACUCAAGCAGAUGUCAGGAAAUAUAUGAUUGUAUUUAUUAAGGUAGACAGAGAUCGAGAUGGGAAGAUCACUGGUGAAGAGGCAAGGAAUCUGUUUUUAAGUUGGAGGUUGCCAAGAGAGAUCUUAAGGAAGGUGUGGGAUUUGUCCGACCAGGAUAAGGAUGGGAUGCUGUCCUUCAAGGAAUUUUGUUUUGCUGUGUACUUAAUGGAGAGGUUCCGAGAGCAGAGACCACUUCCUGAUGUAUUACCAGAUGGUAUUUGGGCGGAGGGAAUUUCACUACCCUCUACUGGCCAGUUUGCAGAGAACCCUAGUGGCCCGGCUCCCAAUCAAAGUGCUGGGUUUGCAAGUAGAGCAAUGCAAGGACCACAUCCUGGAAUGCCUCCUUCAUCUGUGAAGCAACAACAUCGAAGGCCUCUUCAUUUUGAUGAUGAUACUAUGCCGACUGAACCACAAAAACCUAAGGUCCCAGCAUUGGAGAAACAUUUGGUUGGCCAGCUUAGCAAAGAGGAACAAAAUGCACUCGAAGCGAAGUUCAAGGAAGCUUCAGAUGCUGAUAAAAAGGUUCAAGAGUUGGAAAAGGAAAUACUGGAUUCCAGGGAGAAGACUGAUUACUAUCGCACCAAGAUGCAGGAGCUGAUUCUCUACAAGAGUAGGUGUGAUAACAGGUUUAAUGAAGUCUCAGAAAGUAUGUCUGCUGAUAAGCGCGAGGUUCAAUCCCUUUCGGCCAAAUAUGAUGAGAGAUGCAAGAAGGUUGGAGAUGUGGCAUCAAAGCUAUCAAUGGACGAGGCUACUUUCCGUGAGAUCCAGGCGAAGAAAUUGGAAAUUUAUAAUUCUAUAGUUAAGCUGCAGAAAGGGGAUGGAGAUGACGAUAAGCUUCAGGAGCGGGCUAAUCAGAUACAAUCUGAACUUGAGGAGCUCGUGAAAUCUUUAAAUGAACAGUGCAAGAGAUAUGGAUUGAGAGCUAAGCCAACUACUUUAGUGGAGCUUCCUUUUGGUUGGCAACCUGGAAUACAAGAGACAGCUGCUGUGUGGGAUGAAGAAUGGGAUAGAUUUGCAGAAGAUGGGUUCUCUAUAAUCAAGGAACUCACAGUCGAAGUGGAGCCUCCUGCUGUAAAAGAAAGUCAUCCUGCUGUUGAAGAUGGCAAAGUUUCUAGCAACGGGGUAUCAACAGCUACAACAACAGAGAAAGAAGAUAACAAGAGUGAUAAAACUGCUGCUGCUGAGCAGGCCGUAGAACCUGAAGCAACUGGUUCGAACGGCAAAGCAGAAUCAGCAAAAAAUCCUCCUGUUAGUCCCGUAAAGAAGGCAACGGAUGGGCAUACUAAUGAACCUGAUAAAAAGCCAUCGGGGACAAAUGCUGACUCACCACGUGCUGCUGACAGUAUGAGCAACGAUGGAGCAUCUGAUUCCCCUGUUCGUGGAGAUAAAGCCAAUAAUAGACAUUCUUGGGGCCCAUCUUUUGAUCAUGGUGAUGAUAAUGACUCCCUAUGGAACUUCGGUGAUAAGGAUGGUGAGAAUGGUGGUGAUUCAGAUCUAUUCUUUGGGCCAGGAGGUCUUCCCCCCAUAAGGACAGGGGGUUCUACAUCUGCUAGCGCUUUUGGGAAGGAACAGAAACCGAUGUUUGAUUCUGUCCCAGGCACUCCAAUGGAGAAGCCGUUCUUUGAUUCUGUCCCAGGCACGCCGCUGCAGAAAUCCGUCUUUGAUUAUUCCGUCCCAAGUACACCGAUGCAGAAUUCAUCCUUCGACUACUCUGUUCCAAGUACACCGAUGCAGAAGUCGCUCUUCGACUCUUCUGUUCCAAGUACACCGAUGCAAAGAUCACUCUUUGAUUCUUCUGUGCCCAGCACGCCGAUGCAGAAAUCACUGUUUGAUUCUUCUGUUCCAAGCACACCAAUGGGGAAUUCAUUCUACGACUCUUUCCCGAGCACCCCAAUGCAGGGUUCACUCUUUGAUUCUGGUCCAGGCAGAGUGGAGUCUCCUACGGCCGGGAGCACCUAUGGCGGCGGUCAGCAGAAGGGAUUCUUCGACUCUUCCGUUCCAAGCACGCCGAUGUACAACUCCAGCUUCUCGCCAAGGUACAGCGAAGCCGGGGACGACAGCUCGUUCGACACCUUCUCCCAGAUGGACUCCUUUGGCGCGAAAGACAGCAGUUCGUUCGGGCAGCCGCGUGACAGCUUCUCACGGUUCGAUUCCUUCGGGAGCAGCGCUGAGCUCGGUGGCAGCAACGACGCAUUUGGGAGGUUUGAUUCUUUCCGCAGCAACGCCGACCAGGGUGGUGGCAGCAGCUUCAUGAGGUAUGAUUCCAUGAGCAGCAACGCCGACCAGGGCACUGGCAACAACAACAGCUUCAUGAGGUACGACUCCAUGAGCAGCAAUGCCGAUCAAGGUGGCGGCAACAACAACAACAGCUUCAUGAGGUACGACUCCAUGAGCAGCAAUGCCGACCACGACAGAAGCAACGUGUUUGCGAGGUUUGACUCGAUGAAGAGCACCGACUCCCACGACCGGGGCUACUCCUUCGACGACGACGACGACCCUUUCGGCACCGGGCCCUUCAAGCCGUCCAAGCCGUCGACGGAGACCUCCAGCCCGACGAGACAUGGGACCGACAAGUGGAGCGCGUUUUGA